rnacentral:rRNA from 1 species
GUGGGGAAUCUUAGACAAUGGGGGCAACCCUGAUCUAGCCAUGCCGCGUGAGUGAUGAAGGCCUUAGGGUCGUAAAGCUCUUUCGCUGGGGAAGAUAAUGACGGUACCCAGUAAAGAAACCCCGGCUAACUCCGUGCCAGCAGCCGCGGUAAUACGGAGGGGGUUAGCGUUUUUCGGAAUUACUGGGCGUAAAGCGCGCGUAGGCGGAUUGGAAAGUUGGGGGUGAAAUCCCGGGGCUCAACCCUGGAAUGGCCUUCAAAACUCCCAGUCUUGAGGUCGAGAGAGGUGAGUGGAAUUCCGAGUGUAGAGGUGAAAUUCGUAGAUAUUCGGAGGAACACCAGUGGCGAAGGCGGCUCACUGGCUCGAUACUGACGCUGAGGUGCGAAAGCGUGGGGAGCAAACAGGAUUAGAUACCCUUGUAGUCC